rnacentral:rRNA from 1 species
ACGGGUGAGUAAUGUCUGGGGAUCUGCCCGAUAGAGGGGGAUAACCACUGGAAACGGUGGCUAAUACCGCAUAAUGUCGCAAGACCAAAGAGGGGGACCUUCGGGCCUCUCACUAUCGGAUGAACCCAGAUGGGAUUAGCUAGUAGGCGGGGUAACGGCCCACCUAGGCGACGAUCCCUAGCUGGUCUGAGAGGAUGACCAGCCACACUGGAACUGAGACACGGUCCAGACUCCUACGGGAGGCAGCAGUGGGGAAUAUUGCACAAUGGGCGCAAGCCUGAUGCAGCCAUGCCGCGUGUAUGAAGAAGGCCUUCGGGUUGUAAAGUACUUUCAGCGGGGAGGAAGGCGAUGUGGUUAAUAACCGCAUUGAUUGACGUUACCCGCAGAAGAAGCACCGGCUAACUCCGUGCCAGCAGCCGCGGUAAUACGGAGGGUGCAAGCGUUAAUCGGAAUUACUGGGCGUAAAGCGCACGCAGGCGGUCUGUUAAGUCAGAUGUGAAAUCCCCGGGCUUAACCUGGGAACUGCAUUUGAAACUGGCAGGCUUGAGUCUCGUAGAGGGGGGUAGAAUUCCAGGUGU